rnacentral:lncRNA from 1 species
ACUCUGCAGACUACACAAAUUGGUAUCACGUCAGAGUCACCUUCUAUUAUAAAGACACAGAGUGAAUAUUUCUACAUUGUUCUUUGCAUCACCAGCCACUACUAUGGAGGAUGUAUUUUGUAGGCUGAGACCAGGUUAUGUGCUGUGCUCCAUGUACAAGAAACGAUAGGAAAUGAAUCAGAGUUCCUGUUGCUCCAGAUUCUCAAGAACAUAUGAUGUCAUCAGUGUUUUAGGUUUUGGUCAUUACAACAGGCAUUAUUGGCAAGUGGAAUGAGAACAAGAAGAGAUCCAAGGCUGAAUUCUGCAGUUUUUGGCUUCAUUCCAACUUGAAUUUAUAUAGAAUAUUUUCAAUCUGUGGUUGGUUGAAUCCACAGAUGCAAAACCCACAGACGUGAGGGCUGAUUCUACGUGCAAACUGGCCACAAAAGUCCUGGCUGUCUUCAAAGCUGCAUCCUAACGAGGGCAGAGUACCUGAAGUUCAAAUUCUCAGUUGCUGAAAUACAAGUGGAAACCCUAUUCUAAGAGUUUGCCAAUGCAAUCUAAGAUAUUGGUAUGAUUUGGUUGCCCA